GUGUGCCCCUUGAGGUGUUUAGA
rnacentral:miRNA from 1 species